AAACUUUAUUUGAUACGUAUUUGGGAUUAUUAUAGUUCUGCUCUUCGAGCUAUAGUAAUAAAUUGGCGUCAAAAUAAACUUAUCGGACCCGGGGGCGGUACCCGGCGCCUCCACCAAUAAAAAUUAUGGGGGC
rnacentral:tmRNA from 1 species